UUGAGCCGUACGAGAUGAAAUUCUCAUAUACGGUUCUCGGAGGGGGGUUCGGGUUAGUUACCUAUCUCAAU
rfam:Oryza sativa Japonica Group DNA, chromosome 12, cultivar: Nipponbare, complete sequence.